CAAAAAAGUUAUAAUUACUUUUGAAUACCAUUGAUUUUGUCGUCUCAAUGCAUGCACGGCUGUAACUUCAAUUUUAUGUCCUUUUCUUGUGCUACACUGCAAGUCCAAGCUGUCAUAUAUGUGGACUGAUUGCUGCUCCUGCACCAUCAUCACCAAAAGAGAGAAGAAAAGAGAGGAACACUGAAAAAAGAAAUAAAAGAGAAGAAACCUUUUUCUACAUGGAAAUUGGAUAAAGCUCGAUGAUAUAAGUAAUUCUGCAUGUCAGUUAAUGUGUAUGAUCUCUUUCUAGGUACUUCAUUACAACAAAUGCAACGUCAACAUUUCGCUCCAUAGUUUCCAGUUACCCUGGAGAUUUGUUUCUGGUAUCGAUACAGUGUCCAAAUCCUGACUUCAACAAGCCAGAACACCGUUGGAGAAUGCUGCAGAGGUCAUUAGUUGAAGCAAUUGCAGAUUUGCUUAUAUUUGGUGGAAAGGUAAGUUGCCACUACCCUUUGGUGACUAAUGUUUUUCUUUUGGAAACUGGACACAAUUUUGGUCUCUUUGUGGAUAUUCGGUUUUUGAUUAUUACAUCAUAUGGUGGAACUGAAAUUGAUAUUUCAAUCUGUCUCAGAUUUAGUGAAGUUAGAACGUGCAACUUUUGAACUGAGAAGGAAAUUUU